UGGGGAAUAUUGGACAAUGGGCGAAAGCCUGAUCCAGCCAUGCCGCGUGUGUGAAGAAGGUCUUCUGAUUGUAAAGCACUUUAAGUUGGGAGGAAGGGCAGUAAGCGAAUACCUUGCUGUUUUGACGUUACCGACAGAAUAAGCACCGGCUAACUCUGUGCCAGCAGCCGCGGUAAUACAGAGGGUGCAAGCGUUAAUCGGAAUUACUGGGCGUAAAGCGCGCGUAGGUGGUUCGUUAAGUUGAAUGUGAAAGCCCCGGGCUCAACCUGGGAACUGCAUCCAAAACUGGCGAGCUAGAGUAGGGCAGAGGGUGGUGGAAUUUCCUGUGUAGCGGUGAAAUGCGUAGAUAUAGGAAGGAACACCAGUGGCGAAGGCGACCACCUGGGCUCAUACUGACACUGAGGUGCGAAAGCGUGGGGAGCAAACAGG
rnacentral:rRNA from 1 species